GACGAACGCUGGCGGCGUGCUUAACACAUGCAAGUCGAACGGAAAGGCCCCAGCUUGCUGGGGUACUCGAGUGGCGAACGGGUGAGUAACACGUGGGUGAUCUGCCCUGCACUCUGGGAUAAGCCUGGGAAACUGGGUCUAAUACCGGAUAGGACCGUGCGUUAGUGUGUGCGGUGGAAAGUUUUCGGUGCAGGAUGAGCCCGCGGCCUAUCAGCUUGUUGGUGGGGUAAUGGCCUACCAAGGCGGCGACGGGUAGCCGGCCUGAGAGGGUGUACGGCCACAUUGGGACUGAGACACGGCCCAGACUCCUACGGGAGGCAGCAGUGGGGAAUAUUGCACAAUGGGCGCAAGCCUGAUGCAGCGACGCCGCGUGGGGGAUGACGGCCUUCGGGUUGUAAACCCCUUUCGGCAGGGACGAAGCUUUUGUGACGGUACCUGCAUAAGAAGCACCGGCUAACUACGUG
rnacentral:rRNA from 1 species